rnacentral:rRNA from 1 species
CUUGCUUCUCUCCGGCGACGAGUGGCGAACGGGUGAGUAAUACAUCGGAACGUGUCCGCUCGUGGGGGACAACCAGCCGAAAGGUUGGCUAAUACCGCAUGAGUUCUACGGAAGAAAGAGGGGGACCCGCAAGGGCCUCUCGCGAGCGGAGCGGCCGAUGACUGAUUAGCCGGUUGGUGAGGUAACGGCUCACCAAAGCAACGAUCAGUAGCUGGUCUGAGAGGACGACCAGCCACACUGGGACUGAGACACGGCCCAGACUCCUACGGGAGGCAGCAGUGGGGAAUUUUGGACAAUGGGCGCAAGCCUGAUCCAGCUAUUCCGCGUGUGGGAUGAAGGCCCUCGGGUUGUAAACCACUUUUGUAGAGAACGAAAAGACACCUUUUAAAAAAGGGUGUUGCUGACGGUACUCUAAGAAUAAGCACCGGCUAACUACGUGCCAGC